GGUGGGAUUGCAGAGAGGGGUGGAUCGGAGAAAGGGAUGUCAAAAAAAAGAAGAGUAGAUCGAAGAAGGGGACGGUGGGGUUACAGAGAUGGGUGGAUUGGAGAAAGGGAUGCCAAAAAAAGGGAUGGAUCGGAGAAAGGGACGUCGGAAAAAAAAAGGGUUAGAAUGGAGGAAGGGAACCUAGAAAAACAAAAGAGUGAGAAAGACGAUCAAGAGGAGGAAGAAGGGGGUGGAUCAGAUCAAGGAAGGGAACCCCAAAAAAAAGAUCGAGAAAGAUGGUCGAGAGGAGGAAGAAAGGGGUGGAUCAGAUUAAGGGAACCCCAAAAAAAAGAUCGAGAAAGAUGGUCGAG
rnacentral:lncRNA from 1 species